CAACAAGUGAACCAGAGAUCUCCCCCUGUCCCAAUGCACUAGACACUUACAGCUCCAACACUGGGCAAAGCACUCCACUGCAGCUUUUGCAGCUGGGCUGCCCUGCCUCACUUGGAUGCAUCAACAAAGCUUGAAGUGGCCACUCUAAUCUGGUACCAGGAUCAGUGGAGCAGCCACUGUGCAGUGAAACCGGAGCACCCGGAGAAAGCCCACGCAGACGCAGGGAGAACAUGCCAACUCCACACAGAGAGGCCCUGCCCUAACUGGAAAACAAACCCAGGAUCUUCUUGCUGUGAGGCAACAAACGGAGGCUGCUGUCUGGCUGAAGAUUGACCAUGGCUCAGGGCUGGAUAGAGACCUAUAUGACAGGCCCCACUGAGGACUGAAUGGACAGCAGUGUCUGAUGAAUGGCCUGCCUCCCUUCUUAAUCACAAAGCCCUCACACCAAGUGAGACACCAACAAAGGCAAGUGUGGUAACGCUAUACAAGGCCAAGGUUCUCAAUAUACCUUUGGUGACACACUCUGACUUUUUGUGGUGUAUCAACACAGUGUCUGUUUCACAGCCGGCCCUGCUCAGUCAGUUCAAAAACUGAAAAGGUUGUUAUGUGAGU